rnacentral:rRNA from 1 species
GAUUUCUGGCUUGAAACAUUAAGCCGGCCACGGUUUCGUGUGUUAGUGUUUGAUGUUCUGGCCAUCCUUCCAAUUGCUAUUCAUCUUUCUUCAUUGAUGGGUGAGUGGUGUUGGAUCUUUUACUUUGAAAAAAUUAGAGUGUUUCAAGCAGGCUUUAUGCUAUGAAUACAUUAGCAUGGAAUAAUAAUUUAGGACUUUGGCCCUAUUUUGUUGGUUUCUAGAGCUGAAGUAAUGAUUGAUAGGGAUAGUUGGGGGUGCUCGAAUUCAGCGGCCAGAGGUGAAAUUCUUGGAUUCGCUGAAGACGAACUCAUGCGAAAGCAUU